ACCGUAUCGACCGGUUCCCCGAAUGGGCCCGUAGCUCAGUUGGUUAGAGCACACGCUUGAUAAGCGUGGGGUCGGAAGUUCAAGUCUUCCCGGGCCCACCAUUUACUUGAUGUGAAUGAUGGUUUGGGAUGAUGGAAUGGCAGUUGAUGCGGAUUGUUGCCGAACCCGGGAUGUGUCCUGGGCGAUCGAGCUGAUGGGGCUGUAGCUCAGCUGGGAGAGCACCUGCUUUGCAAGCAGGGGGUCAGCGGUUCGAUCCCGCUCAGCUCCACCAAAUCGAUUGGUGUUGAGACUGACGGCAUUUGUCUUUUGAAGAAAUACAAGUUUUGCAUCGGCUUUGAGCCUGAUGCCUGUUCUGCAUAUAUCGUGAAGAGAAGAUUGAUCUGGAGGCUUCCAGGUGUUUUGGGUUCUGCCCAAAGCGUCCGAGCCCAGUUCCUGUGAACCCAUGGAUGGCCUAGCCGGCCGGAUGUGGUGGAGGGAUUGGAGGUAGGAAGGAAGCUUGUCGCUCUGGAUCGUCAGCGUAAACCGCGUAGCGGUUUAUCGCGUGUUGUUCGUUGCCUUUGGGCAUCGUCUGACGGACGAUCGGAUUACCGUUGCCUGACCGCGCGGUAUCGGAUCCAAUCUCGAGAAGCUGGUCUUAAGACAGGCUGCAAGUGGGCUGCUCGGCGUAGCUCCAAUAAAGCAGACCUGUCGAACACGUUAAUGGCAUUGUUGGAUUGACUGGGUUGUAAAAGGUAACCCGGUCUGUUGCCGUUUCUUUGAAGCGGGCAACGAGAUGAUGAGCAUUGGCAAUGAGAACGAUUAAGUGUCGUAAGGGCAUUUGGUGGAUGCCUUGGCAUGCACAGGCGAUGAAGGACGUGAUACGCUGCGAAAAGCCGU
rnacentral:tRNA from 1 species